UCUGGAGAGCCGCCAAGCACAGGCCCAGAAAGGCAGAGAGAGCGGGGCGGCCUUGUUACGGUUUCAGCUUUAAGCAGCUGCUGUGGCUGCGCUGCGUCCUUCACUGUCCUCCGAACCCAGCUUCAGCCUUCCAACAUCGACUGAAGACCAGCACCUCUCCAGAAAUCCCCCGGGCCUUCCCUGCCAGACUGGAAUUGCUGAGGCCUCAUGGAUUCAUGGACUGAGCAGAUGCUGGACCCUCAGCCUUUCCAGUAAGAAGACAGCCGUUCCUGGACUCCCCAGCCCCGAUCAUAAAGAGUGAAGCGCUGGCCAGCGUGAAUGGCCCUGGUCACUGGGCCAUCUCACUGAAAACAAAUGCUUUGGCAGAGGAAAGGCCUGGCGCAGAGAACCAAAUUUCAUACAGCAGAGAAUCUGAAGCUCCUUGAAGUGGUACAACAGAAAAGCCCCAAAAGUUCAACCAAAGUUUCACUCACAGCAAAAUUUGUGGUGAUUGACAUUGCCCCUGAGGU